rnacentral:rRNA from 1 species
UACGUAGGGUGCAAGCGUUAAUCGGAAUUACUGGGCUGAAAGCGUGCGCAGGCGGUUUUGUAAGUCUGAUGUGAAAUCCCCGGGCUCAACCUGGGAAUUGCGAUGGAGACUGCAAGGCUUGAAUCUGGCAGAGGGGGGUAGAAUUCCACGUGUAGCAGUGAAAUGCGUAGAGAUGUGGAGGAACACCGAUGGCGAAGGCAGCCCCCUGGGUCAAGAUUGACGCUCAUGCACGAAAGCGUGGGGAGCAAACAGG